AGGGUGUAAACGCUGCAGACUUGGUGUUGGAAGUCCUUUGGGGGCAUUCAGUGCCAGAGAGAAGUUGUUAAGUCUGCUACUUGGGGAGUACGUCCGCAAGGAUGAAACUUAAAGGAAUUGGCGGGGGAGCACCGCAACGGGAGGAGCGUGCGGUUUAAUUGGAUUCAACACCGUAAAACUCACCAGGGAAGACUGUUACAUGAAAGCCGAGAUGAAGACUCUGCUAGAUUUUCAGAGAGGAGGUGCAUGGCGUCAGUGACU
rnacentral:rRNA from 1 species